CAUGCAGGAAGCCCAAUGUGUGACUCCAUCCCGGGACUCCAGGAUCAUGCCCUGAACCAAAGGCAGAUGCUCAACCACUGAGCCACCCAGGAGUCCCAAGAUAAUAUAUAUUUUUAUUUGUGAGUCAAUUUGAGACAUUUUGUUACUUGAAACUGAAAGUAUCCUAAGUGUUACAGAUGAAAUGUAAAAGUAAGUUCAUUGGAUGAAUUGAAGGACUAUUUCUCAGAGUUUAUAAAAACAAACAACAACCACAGCCACAGGCAAAGGAUGGGGAUAUUAUCAUGUAAAGGAUAGAAGUUUGGGCUGUAACAUCAGACAGACUUGGGUUUGAACUCAGAUAUUUACUGCCUCGGGGGUUGAUGGUGACAAAUUUUUUUUAACCUCUCUGAGUCCCGUUUUCUUUAUCUAUAAGCUGGGGAUAAUAAUACCACGGGGUUGUUAUAUGGAUUAAAUGAGAUAAUUUGUGUCAAGUAUACUACAAAAGAUAUGACGCCUAGUAAGCACUAAGGCCCGGCAACUAUGUUGAUGAGCUAUGACUUAAGUCACAUUUAUAGUAUAUUUGGCAGCAAGCAUCUAAUAGUGAAUCACUAUAUAAUAGCAAUCAUGUUAAAUGACAUUUUGCAAUCAGCAAAAUCCAAAUUAUGAGAAACUCUACACAAUCACUUAUUUCUCCUAUAAAUAAAGUGUAAGAAAAGGGAAAGUUUAUAGAUACACAGACACAUAAGAGACAAACAACCAAAUGCAAUUUGUAGUAGAUAUUGAUUUGAACAAAGCAGCUGUUUAAAAAAAUCACAUUUAUGAGGUAAUUGAGGGACAUGUGAAUAUAGGAUAUUUAUUAUAUUAAGAUAUUAUUUUAAAUUUUUAAAAUGUGAUGAUACCAUGUUUUUUUUAUAACAAAGUCUUUAUCUUUUAGAAAGAUACUACUGAAUACUACUGAAAACAUACUGAAUACUACUGAAAACACACUGAAUAUUUGAAGAAGAAAUAAAACUGGGGUUUACUUUUAAAAAUAAGCCAGUGAGAGUGGUAGUAGAGUGGCAGUAUUGGGUUAUAAAUGAAAAAGAUUGGUCAUGAGUUGAUAAUGGUUGAAGCUGAAUGUUGGGCCAUUAUUAAACCAUUCUCUGGACAUUUUUCUUUUUCUUUUUUUAACUUUUUGUUUAUUUAUGAUAGUCAUACAGAGAGAAAGAGAGAGAGGCAGAGACACAGGCAGAGGGAGAAGCAGGCUCCAUGCACCGGGAGCCUGACGUGGGAUUCGAUCCCAGGUCUCCAGG
rnacentral:lncRNA from 1 species